CUUCCCAGAGUGAUCUUCAUAUUCUCCAUUGGAGCCUUCAGGCACCUGGCUGUCCUUUCCUGAGCUGGCAUCAUCUGUGAAGGAAAGGUUGCUGUUCCUUAGGAGGAGCUGAUCUGUGGUACCAUCUAUUCAAAUAAUGGUAUAAAUCAAAAUUAGAGAUAAUGAAACCUA